rfam:Operophtera brumata OBRT01_Sc08973, whole genome shotgun sequence.
AUGAAGCCCAAAACAGCUGCUGGCCACUGCUCAAGAUUAGUGUGGACAUACUCUUGUGCGUGUGACAGCGGCUAUUGCGGGCGAUUCAUUGCCGUCG